rnacentral:lncRNA from 1 species
CCAUCACAUUUUUUUUCUUCCAUUUAAGCAUCAUGGAAUACUGUAUCUUGACAGGAGUUUCAGGAAGCCCUCUGGUCCAUCCCACAUACCCCAAAGCAAAAGCAGCUGUAGUCUGUGUCGUGCCUGACAGAUGUUUGUCUCUUACUCUUAAAACCCUAAGUGACAUCAACUCUACAACAUCCCCAGGCACUCUGUUCUCAUGUUAUUCUAUAUUUUCUUUUGGAGUUUUUCCUAAAUGCCUAUUCUAAAUCUCCCUUGCCACAGUUUAAACCCAUUAUUUCUUCUCCUACCCUCAGUGGAGAUAGAGAAUGGAUUAAUUACUCCUUUCUUCCUUUCAGCUGUCCUUUAGAUAUCUGAACACAGUUAUCACACUUUCCCUCUGUCUUUGUGGUCCCCACAGCAAAAGCAUUGUUAUUUAGCAUCAUUGCCAAACUAGGAGGCAAUAUUUUCUGUUAAUAUUUUUGUAAUUAUUGUAAAGGGAAUAGUCUUUAUACUGCAUCAGUUUUCAGUGGUAUUUGCAAUGGGAUUAUCUUAGGAAAAAUGACAAUACUGUUCCUUUUUUUUGUAGUUCUAUGGGGAUAAAAAGAAUAAAGUGGUCUAAGGGGAACAAUUGCAAGAGAGAGAACCCUUCGAUGAAUUUUCAGGCUGCAGCUGGCUGCGAUUUUCUCCUCCAGUUAAACAUCACUUCUCCAUUCACUUUGACUUGGACACCUUCCAGCUGCCUCUGGGGAUCUAUGGCCUCUCUUCCAAUCAGCAGCAUCUUUGGAAACCUGAGCAUCUUUGCCCCUUUUUCAUGCUGUCAGUAGAGGACCCUCUUUGUCCUACUCUGUUACAACUUUGCCUACAAUGUAAGUACAAGGUGAAGCCAGAAUUAAUUUUUGCAUCAAAAUUUUCUUACUUUUUUGUCACUGUAUAAACAUAUGCAUCUCCAUUGUGGUCACAUCAUAUGUGCCUCCUCAGUCUGUUGAGGAUGACUAUUUUCAGGACAUCUGAGUGCAUGCUGUUUAAAAAGUUCAAGAGUCUUUGCUUAGCUUUCAUAUUUUUGUUUU